UGGGUUCGUAGCUCAGCAUGGAUAGAGCGAGUGCUUGCGGAGCAUUAGGUCGGGGGUUCGAAUCCCUUCGGAUCCGU
rnacentral:tRNA from 2 species